AGGUCUGUUUUGGCACGCAGGAAGUUGGCAUGCUCCGUGUCGUCCACCGGCUUCUCGAAAUAAACAUCUACGCCAUCUGUGGGUCGAGUGGUUGUCACUGCGAUGGGGGGGGGGGGGCAGGAAAUAGAGGAAUGCAUUUGCUGAGCUUGCUGUCCUGAGAAGCUGCUGAGCUGACGUCUGAGCAAGUAUUUCUGUUUGACGUGGGCAAGCUUGUCCCAAAAGCCUCCUGCUGGUUGGUGACCCAGUUCGAAAUCACACGCAUCUCCAAAUGCUGUGCUGCUGCGUGUUUACCAUGACCCUGCACGUUUCAGCCAUUUGUGUGCAUGUGUAUCUCCAAAAGCUUAAGGGGGGGAGCCAGAUACACAGAAGAGGAGGAGCAGAUGGAGAGACAAGGAGAAGCUGUUUGAUGUCCAUCCUCCCACCAUCUUCCAUAUCAGAUGCAGGCCGCCUUGUGCUUGACGCAGCCAGCCAAAUAGUCACAAGACAACGUUUCUUCUUUGUUCAAUUAUAAUCUUCUAUCUAUAGCGUGUGAUAAAAUGACACUUUGGAUUUUGCACCGUCA